rnacentral:lncRNA from 1 species
GUUGGAUGGUGUUUCAGAAGGAACAAGAGAGUGCUCUGUUUAAGUAGGUAAAAAUACACCAUUCUCUGUUUGGAGCUGGCUCUGAGGUUGCCUCAGUCUCCAUGGUUCCAAGUUAACAAACAAGAAUCCUGAGUUUUAUUAGCCUUGAAAUGCUAGUGUUGGAAAGAAAGUGCAAGAAGGCCUGAGAAUUCAACCCAUUGUGACCUGCUGCACCAGGAAUACUUUUCAGCUGUUGUACCUCCCUGAUUUCCCCAGAUAGUAAAUAAAAAUCCCUGAGUUUCCC